CUGUAAUGAAGUGGGUCGCAGUUAGCGUGCACAGAAGUGCCUGAAGAUACCUUGUGUCAUGCUGCAAACUCGCCGUAUGCGUGGCGCGCCAAGCAAACGUGGACCAACGAUUUGAUGUCAUCGAGUGUGGCUCCUUUGUCUCUCGUUGUGGAAAGUAGGGUGGACGUCGCAAAGAAAUAAUGCGUGUUAGCGCGCCUCAGCUCGUCCACUACUCAGUGGCAUGUAUGCCGGGAGUAACAUCGUCGACGCAGCACCGGCAGCUUGGAGAGCGCUUUGCGAAUGCGUCGUACCAUUCAAAAGUGGCGAGGCUGUGACCCACAACAGUGCCCACAUAACAUAUUAGCCACCAGACCCCUUGGCUAUGCCUGCCGUAGCGCAACGUGUAAUCUGGAUGGUCGGGUCAGGUUGCCGCAUUAUUGACUUGGAAACCAGUGAGGUCUCUGGAUGCAAGUGAAGCUACCGAGGGAAGCAUGUGUGCAUCGCUUGUGCUGCUGACCAUCCUCUGCAAAAGUGAAGGCUGGCGGUCACUGCUUGGACGACUUUGUUACUAUACCCCCUGGGCUGUGUUGACUCCUUCACACUUGCUGCAAGCUUAGGCAAAAAGACCGGCUGGAUGCUUGGCAGGACAUAGUAUUCAACCGCAGUGGUACUGUGCUGUGUUUUUGUACACUACCAAGUGAAUGACAGUAUUUGUGCUGUUAUUAAGAAGUAUAAAUUGUGUUCUGCCAUUGAAAUAAGGGAACUUGACAAAAAAAGCAAAAAAUUUCGAAGUCUGACCUAAAUGGGAAGGCAACAAGUAUUGUGUUGUAGCUGUUAGCAGAGUGUCUUAAUAUGUGAUACAAGACCUUGAUGUUUAAUGCAAAAUAUAUUUGUGUUAUCAGAGCUGUUCACGUUGUUUUUCUAAGUUACUGUUAUCUAAGUGUCAUUACUUGUUUGCCAGUAUGAUGUAAGCAGACUGUAAAUAAAUGCAUGGUUUGACAUUAUAACCAGGUUUGUCUAUGACAUAUUCACUAUUAUUUAAGGUGGACCAAUGCAUAUUCAAAGGUGCAUAUUCAACCGCCACAUAUUCCUCCUGCACAAACAAUUCCUACAUACUAGCGUUUGUUAUUAGCAGCUGAUGUUGGCUAUUAUGAAAUUUCUUGAAAGCACAUGCAGCUACCGACACAUGAUUUUUAGAGCAGUAAGUCGGAAGCAAAGAAACUGACUUUUUUCUGUGGCCUAAG